AUUGAACGCUGGCGGCAUGCCUUACACAUGCAAGUCGAACGGCAGCACGGGGCAACCUGGUGGCGAGUGGCGAACGGGUGAGUAAUGCAUCGGAACGUACCUUUCAGUGGGGGAUAACGUAGCGAAAGUUACGCUAAUACCGCAUAUUCUGUGAGCAGGAAAGCAGGGGAUCGCAAGACCUUGCGCUGAUUGAGCGGCCGAGGUCAGAUUGGCUAGUUGGUGAGGUAAAGGCUCACCAAGGCGACGAUCUGUAGCGGGUCUGAGAGGAUGAUCCGCCACACUGGAACUGAGACACGGUCCAGACUCCUACGGGAGGCAGCAGUGGGGAAUUUUGGACAAUGGGGGCAACCCUGAUCCAGCCAUGCCGCGUGAGUGAAGAAGGCCUUCGGGUUGUAAAGCUCUUUCGGCCGGGAAGAAAUCGCACGGGCUAAUACCCUGCGUGGAUGCCGGUACCGGAAUAAGAAGCACCGGCUAACUACGUGCCAGCCGCCGCCGUAAAAC
rnacentral:rRNA from 1 species